rnacentral:rRNA from 1 species
UACAGAGGGUGCAAGCGUCGUUCGGAAUUAUUGGGCGUAAAGGGAGUGUAGGCGGUUGUCUAAGUCUUCUGUGAAAUCUACGGGCUUAGCCUGUAACGUGCAGAGGAAACUGGGCGACUGGAGUGUCGGAGAGGAUAGGGGAAUACCCGGUGUAGAGGUGAAAUUCGUAGAGAUCGGGUGGAACACCAGUGGCGAAGGCGCCUAUCUGGCUGACAACUGACGCUGAGACUCGAAAGCAUGGGGAGCAAACAGG